CCUGUUUUCAAAUCCUCACUUUUUUGCAUUAUAUUUAGUCACCUUCUCUUCCGUUCUCUCCACAAUUCGCAGGGCUUUAACAUUCAAUAUUCUCUGUUCGCCAGGGGCUCUUCUUAGUCUACGAUCUCGUUUGGUUUUCACAAGAAUCAUCGAUCAACAAUGACUCGCGGUAACCAAAGAGAUCGAGACCGUGAGAGGGCUCAGGCCAGAAACGCUGGAAAAGCUAAACAGUCUAAGAGUGAUGGAUUGACCCCAGAACAACGCAGGGAAAGAGAUGCAAAAGCUCUACAGGAGAAAGCGGCAAAGAAAGCAGGUCAGGCUGCUGGAGGCAACAAUGCAGGUGGUGGAGGCAAAAAGCUUUAGUAGGAUUGUGGAGUUGAGGUCACAUAAUCUAGAAGGUGAAGCAGCUAUGGCAUUGAUGAGAGGCAAUUGAAAAGGUAUGAAUUUGGUUUGUGAUGACAUUUGUGGCAAGGAACAGUUUUAGUCCCAGAAGAUUCAAUUGUUGCCUUAGGAACAGGCAACUAGAGGAUCCUCAUUUCAUUAGGUUCCACUUAUUCGUUCAAAACAUGAGAGGUACAAUAAAAUUCGGAAAAUAACACUUACCUGUUCCUAAUGUAUUUUGUCCUCUUUAUGGGGUGUGGUAUUUUGUGCUAAUAUUGUUUACAAUCACAUCUGUACAAAAAGAUAGGCUUAAUGCAUUGAGAGGUAGAGGCAUUGGGAGAUCAAUGAUAGUCUACAUUCUUGCAUUUAAUGUUCUUUAUGGAUCGAGUCCCUCUACACUGUUUGGGGUCCAUCCACUAGCUGAUUCUACCCUGCCUUAGUGACUGUACUUGAAUGUGGAUGAAUUUAACAAUACGGAUACUUUACUCUUUCACAAAAAGAAGAAACACGUAUAACCUCUUCUAACAUAGUGGGAGGAAUAUGAGUAUAUGACAGUACAACACGAAGCUAUACACGGGUUUAUUUGUUUUGGGAACCAUAUAAAAAUUUGUAAAAAUAGCACCACGGGAUAGUCUUAACUUCUGCUUUCAAACCAAGUGUAAUUAUUUUGUCUA